rnacentral:tRNA from 1 species
GGGUAGAGCUCAGUGGUAGAGUGCCUGAUUAGCAUGCACAAGGACCUGGGUUCGAUCCCCAGUACUUCCA